AGGGCGUAUGGUGGAUGCCUAGGCUCUCAGAGGCGAUGAAGGACGUGAUAAGCUGCGAAAAGCUCCGUUUAGGUGCAAAUAACCUUUGAUGCGGAGAUCUCCGAAUGGGAUAACCCAAUAUGUUGAAGACAUAUUAUACCGUAAGGUAGGCAAACGCAGGGAACUGAAACAUCUAAGUACCUGCAGGAGAAGAAAACAAACGUGAUUCCCCCAGUAGCGGCGAGCGACCGGGGAUAAGCCCAAACCGUUAUUGUUUCGGCAGUAGCGGGGUAGUAGGACUGCGACAUUGAUGAAAUAAAUGAAAUGGAACACCUUGGAAAAUGUGAUCACAGAGGGUGAUAAUCCCGUACAUGUAAGUUUAUGAAUCAUAGCAGAAUCCUGAGUAAGUCGGGACACGUGUAAUCCUGACCGAAUCCGCCGGGACCAUCCGGCAAGGCUAAAUACUCCUGAGAGACCGAUAGUGAACCAGUACCGUGAGGGAAAGGUGAAAAGCACUUCGAACAGAAGAGUGAAAUAGUCCCUGAACCCAUACGCCUACAAGCAGUCGGAGCCGCUUCGUGCGGUGACGGCGUGCCUUUUGCAUAAUGAGCCUACGAGUUACUCAUCACCAGCGAGGUUAAGUACUUCAGGUACGUAAGCCGAAGCGAAAGCGAGUCUGAAUAGGGCGUCAAGUUGGUGGUGGUAGACGCGAAACCUUAGUGAUCUACCCAUGGGCAGGGUGAAGGUUUGGUAACACAAACUGGAGGCCCGAACCGGUAAACGUUGAAAAGUUUUCGGAUGACCUGUGGGUAGGGGUGAAAGGCCAAUCAAACUGGGAAAUAGCUCGUACUCUCCGAAAUGCAUUUAGGUGCAGCCUCUGUUGUUUUGUUCUAGAGGUAGAGCUACUGAUUGGAUGCGAGGGCUUCACCGCCUAUCAAAUCCGGCCAAACUCCGAAUGCUAGAACAUGAAGACAGGGAGUGAGCCAGCGGGUGCUAAGGUCCGUUGACGAAAGAGGGAGAACUCAGACCAUCAGCUAAGGUCCCCAAUUAUAUGCUAAGUUGGAAUAAAAACGGGGUGGGACUGCUUAGACAGCUAGGAUGUUGGCUUGGAAGCAGCCAUUCAUUUAAAGAGUGCGUAACAGCUCACUAGUCGAGCGGUCCUGCAUGGAUAAUACGCGGGCAUAAGCAUAUAACCGAAGCUAUGGGAUUGUAGAUGAUACAAUCGGUAGGAGAGCAUUCCAUUCAGCAUAGAAGCAGUAUCGUGAGGUAUUGUGGAGCGGAUGGAAAAGCAAAUGUAGGCAUAAGUAACGAUAAUGCGGGUGAGAACCCCGCACGCCGAAAGAUCAAGGAUUCCCCGGCAAUGUCAAUCAUCCGGGGGUAAGUCGGAUCCUAAGGGUAAGCCGAGUGGCGAUCCCGAUGGCAAACAGGUUAAUAUUCCUGUACUGAUCAUAACUGCGAUGCAGCGACGCAGAGGUGACACUGCUGCGUACUGACGGAAUAGUACGUUGAAACCCGUAUUCUUUGAUACCGGUAGUGAAGCACGCCGGUAGAGAUGAAAGGUGAUAGUACCGCAAUGCUUCGGUUGCGCGGAUAAUGCAGGUAAGCUGACUGCCAAGAAAACCUGCUAAGCUUCAGGUAAUGAUCAUCCGUACUGUAAACGGACACACGUGAUCAGGUAGAAAAUACUAAGGCGCUCGAGAGAUUCAUGGUUAAGGAACUAGGCAAAAUGGUCCUGUAACUUCGGGAUAAAGGACGCUCUUGUGAAAGAGCCGCAGAUAAUAGGCCCAGGCGACUGUUUACCAAAAACACAUGGCUAUGCUAAUUCGCAAGAAGAUGUAUAUGGCCUGACACCUGCCCGGUGCCGGAAGGUUAAGAGGAGAGCUCAGAGGUAACUCGAAGGUUUGAAUUGAAGCCCCGGUAAACGGCGGCCGUAACUAUAACGGUCCUAAGGUAGCGAAAUUCCUUGUCAGGUAAGUUCUGACCCGCACGAAUGGCGUAAUGAUUUGGGCACUGUCUCAACAGCCCGCCCGGCGAAAUUGUAGUACUGGUGAAGAUGCCAGUUACCCGCAACUAGACGGAAAGACCCCAUGGAGCUUUACUGCAGCUUAAUACUGGAAUUCGGUAAAUCAUGUACAGGAUAGGUGGGAGACAGGGAAGCAUUGGCGUCAGCCAGUGUGGAGUCGCUGGUGGGAUACCACUCUUGAUUUGCUGGGUUUCUAACCUGCGGCCGUGAAUCCGGUCGGGGGACACUGUUAGGCGGGCAGUUUGACUGGGGCGGUCGCCUCCAAAAGAGUAACGGAGGCGCUCAAAGGUUGGCUCAGCACGGACGGAAAUCGUGCAAUGAGUGUAAACGUAUAAGCCAGCCUAACUGCGAGACCGACGGGUCGAGCAGUAACGAAAGUUGGAGUUAGUGAUCCGGUGGUAUGUGAGUGG
rnacentral:rRNA from 1 species